GGGGUCUGCUGGAUGAGUGAUCGGCGAUACCCUUAUUUUAGUUCACUCAAACUUGGAGUUAAAUAUGUCGUUAAAUGCUGCUGAUAAAGCAAAAAUUGUUGCUGACUACGCUGUAAAAGAA
rfam:Arsukibacterium sp. MJ3 EFN4V4QB, whole genome shotgun sequence.